GACGAAGGAUGCAAGCGUUAUCCGGAUUCAUUGGGUUUAAAGGGAGCGUAGGUGGCCAAAUAAGUCAGUGGUGAAAUCUCGCAGCUUAACUGCGAAAUUGCCAUUGAUACUGUAUGGCUUGAGUAUAGUUGCCGUUGGCGGAAUAUGACAUGUAGUGGUGAAAUACAUAGAGAUGUCAUAGAACACCGAUUGCGAAGGCAGCUAACGAAACUAUAACUGACACUGAGGCUCGAAAGUGCGGGGAU
rnacentral:rRNA from 1 species